GUUGUGUGGAUGCCUCAGUCUCGGCUCGCCUGGGCUGUAGGCAACACGGCCGACAUAGAAGCUCGCCGAGAAAAGAUAUAACCUCACGGUAUCUCUCGCGCGAGGUGGGCCCCCGGGAAAAUCCACAUAAACGUCGAAUAUGUUGUGAAUCGUGAAUAAGGGAAAUAAACGGCAGCCAUAUUCCUCGUGAAGAUCUGCCACGGUGUGUAUGAAAGUCUGAAAAGGAAACGAAAGCUAAAAAAGGUCACAAAGAAUCGUGGCGGCAGUUUCGUAAGAAAAAAACAUCUGAACUAAUAAGAAAGACAAACGUAUACAUACCAUAUGUAUAAAUAGGACGACUCGAGACUCGAGGACCGCUACCUGCCGUAAAUCGAUCAGGGUUGCAUAUACGAAAAUAAACACGGUGCAGUGGUGGGGAUUAAAGGAUAUCGUUCGUCGGGUUCCUUGUGUUGAUACGUGAAAUUAGGUAAAAAUAGAAAAAUAAUGAAAUUCCAUAUGAAGUAUAAAAGUAAGUGUUAUCUCUUUUUCUAAUGUGUUACGCAUUCCUGAAUCUCGUGUGUCCAUCUUGUAUCUCUCGAUCCUCACUUCGGUCUCUUCCCGCUUCGUCCUCGGCGAUAUCUCUCGCUUUCUCUCGCUCUCGUUGCUAGCGUGUAUUUAUUCGUGCUCCUACAAACAAACGUGAACCCGGUAGUAUCUGAAAAUAACAGCGUGCAAGCGCCAUUUUUACGAAAUCCCACGAGAGGGAAUGUCAGCUGAGAUAUACAAAAUUCAAGUGACGAGUGACGGAGAAGGGAAAUGAAAGGGUGACAGAAAGAGUGAGUGAGCGAGGGUGUGUUUGUACGAGAGAGAGAAAGGGAGAGGAAAGUGAGAAAAUAAAAUAACUCAAUUUCAACGAUCGCUUUCGUGUCGGUACGCACUUUCAGAAAGAGCUAGUGUUAUCGUCCUGAAGCAUCUUCACCCGCACCAGAUCGAUUUGCUUAACGAGACGAGUGCUUUCUAUUCAUAGACACUAAUUUUUUUUUCAUAUACCUCAUGUACAGUUUCAUUAAAGUUAACCUAGGAGAGACGAACGAUGCGGAUUUCUUGAAGAGCAUCGAAAAGCAGGGGCAUUGUGCUGGCAUAGGCGAGAAGGAGAGAAGAGGAUAAAGGUACAUCCGUACCGAGCCCGUCAGUGUGAACGUGGAAUAUACCGAUACGUUGUAGAGGAGAGAUGAAACUAAAAAUAAAAAAGUAUUAUUUUAAUUAAAUAUUGAAAAUCCUCGCGAGAGACAAAUCUGUGUUCACUUUGAGUAAUUCUCGAAUGAGCUUCGUUACCGUGAAUAACUGUAAGGUUGCCCAUUGCGAGGAGUAACGUCGACCAAUCUAUACGUACCUAUACUCGGUUCGUGAUAAGUCGAAAUAAAAUGCUGAUUAACGAACCAGAUGAGAAAUGGGAGCAUCGUGGUAUAACGAUGAACCUGACAACGUCGUUCGUCUGAAUGAUGUCAAUGAGUUUCUCUUUCUUUUGAACGUCAUCGAUCCGGACAAGGAUCAGCAUCUACUUCCUGUCUCCGAUUAAGCGUGAUAACGCGAACGGCCAAACCGAUACGGGAAACCUAUUUUCUUCCAUCGACCUCGUGAAGGAGAGUAUCCAGUGGAGAGCAGGUCGGAGCUGAGACAGUCUUGCGAAUUUGAUCACCACCUAGUGGCGUGUCGACGUACAGCAUCCGCGGAAGAGGAUCAUCCCUAGGGACAGUGUAUAGAGUCCUGGAUUACCAUAGUUAUCAACGAAGAAGACGUGCCAAGACUCUGUGCACUAUGGGCUGCGAAUUAGGAAAACUCGCGUCGUCCUCGUCGCAGAAUCAAGGGGGUCGAGAAAGUCCGCCACCCCCGGCUGCGACGGAUCCCCGGCUACCCCUCACUGCAAGACAAAAAUACACGAUAAUUGCAAGCUGGAAAGCUGUGGCAAGAGCAAUGGAACCUACCGGUGUUUACAUGUUCAUAAAAUUGUUCGAGGAAAACGCUGAACUUCUAGAUAUGUUCACAAAAUUCCGUGAUCUGAAGACAAAGGAGCAACAAACGAUGAGUAUGGAGCUUGCGGAACAUGCCACCACAGUUAUGACUACCCUGGAUGAGGGUAUAAAGGGCCUGGACGACAUGGACGUCUUCCUGACCUACUUGCACCAGGUCGGAGCAUCCCAUACAAAGAUACCAGGGUUCAAUAGGUCCUAUUUUUGGAAAAUCGAGGCACCCUUCCUGGAGGCUGUCAAGAGAACCCUGGAGGACAGAUACACGGAAAACGUUGAGAAUAUCUACAAACUCACUAUAAAGUUUAUCAUUGAAACUUUAAUAGACGGAUUCGACAAGGCACAGAAUGACAAGGCCAAGUCCUAGUUUUCUCCCACAGGGUGAACGAGCUACGGCUGCGAAUUAGCGAGGGUGGCUUGUUUCGCCUGGUGAAAAGCGUCGGAGGGUUGCUCGGCCCUCGAGUGAAGUCGAUAACUCUCGACCUUCCUGGUGUAUUAAUCCAUGCUGCAGCAGGUGUCGAGCAGGAUCCUCCGAGCGAUGCCAGGAACAAAGGAUUGAGAAAGGGCAUAGGAUGAAUCCUGAAAGCGUCCUAAGACCUACGACACUUGAGAAUUGGUUCCUUCCUUCCUUUCCUUAUGGCUGACUCCUCCAAUGAGGAGAUGUGCCAGUUGAGAAUUGGUUAAAAAUGUCAAACUCAAAACAAGAACACAGAAUAAAAUGGGAAAGGAGAAGAGAUCAGUGACUCGAACGUGUUUCAAUAUAAGAUCCGUCGGGAGCGCCACUUUCGCCAUGGCUUAACAAGAUACGCCACGAAACGACUAGGUGGCGCUAGUGGAGACAACAGUGUGCGCUGAUACUCGGGUUAUACCCAACAUUUUUAUAUUGAAAAGAACAUGCGAAAGAUCAUUCUCGCUCAAGAAGGAUCGACCGGGAUCCAGGGUGAUCGUGGUACUGAUCACGAAUCGUUUUCACGAUCGUCUCGUUCCACCAUGCGACGGUUUAUUUUUUUACGAGUUUCAUUCUAAAAGCCGCUUUUUAUAACAGCCCGUGCUAAACCGGCGCACGAGCCCUGACUAUACUUCGAGCCCGGCCACUCCAGGUGUCUCUGGCUUCGCCAUAUCGUCCUUCGUGUUUAUCGAACGAACAACACCGGUACCUAUCUACCAACCAACCUAGUACGUAUUUCAAAAGUAACGCGUACGUGGAUAACGAUCGUACGUUCAUCCAUAAAAAAGAAGUCGAAACACGCCAUGAAAGUUAUCGUAAUUUUUCAUGAUAUAACGACAAAGAGGUAACGCUAUGUUAAACGAUCAUCGUCAUCGCAAGAGUCACUUUGAAAAAAGCCCACCCGAUAUUUUUACUCGUUAUAAAACGCGAAUGGAUAUACUUUAGGAGUGUCCCUCUUCACAUGUCAAUUUCCUAGGAAGUCUUUAAGCUACGAUGCGAGCAUCCCUUUGAGAUUAUUAAAUAAAAAUUACCAAGGGAUGCUUUUAAGGGAUUAAGAAAUAAGAAAAAGCAAAAGAUACUUGGCCAUGACAUGGACCAGAGUACUUGUAGUGUAUUAAUUCUCGUACACGGAAAUAUUUCGUGUUCGCACAGAACGUGUGUCAGGGAUACUCGACACUGGUGAUAACAACACAGCCGGUGUGAGAGCACCCUUACAGAAAUUGAGAACGAGAGAUGUUGAUUGUUACUUAGACAAGGAAUGGACGCGUUGACAAAUUCGUCUUUCAAUACUGGGAAUCAAAGAAAGAGAAAGAAAAAUAAAAGCUAAAAGCUCCGUCUCCUCGUCGAACGUCGUUAUCGACAAGGUAGAAAGUUUUUUUUUCUUGUCUCUUUUAUUAUCUUUCUCAUUCAAUUCCCUCUACCAAGACGCAAACGCGUCUAUAAUAAAUGUUGCAUGAAAUGAAUAUUAAACGUCUCGGAUAAAGCUAUCGCAACGCGGAAAGAGCCGAUUCCCAAUUUCUAAAAUCAAUUCUUUUUUUCAAAUCCAAAACGUGGCAAACGUGCCACAUCAAUAGAGUCGCAAAGUGGAGAAAAAUAAAUCCCAAAUAUUAAGUCAUCUGCACUCCCUUUGAUAAUCGCACAAUGUGUCGGGAAAGUCAAAGCGCCGUCAUUAACGGCCAUUUUCGCAUUGCGAUUUUUGGCUUUAAAAGGAAUUUCAUACGAAAUGCACAAACGACCUGUACCUUCUACUCUCCGACAAACGGAUCUAUUUAACCGAAAGUCUUCAAGAAAACAAAAUAGCAGAUAUAUAUAUAUACACAUACAUACACACACACAUAUAUAUAUAUAUUGAUUGCUAGUGUAACUUGCAGUUAUGCGAAUGUUGCAUUAUCUGUUUGUUUGUUCUAUACAGGUCCAAAUGUAUUAUUGUAUCUGAUGGAAUAUUAUAUAACGAAAAUAUAUAA